UACGUAGGGUGCAAGCGUUAAUCGGAAUUACUGGGCGUAAAGCGUGCGCAGGCGGUUUUGUAAGUCUGUCGUGAAAUCCCCGGGCUCAACCUGGGAAUUGCGAUGGAGACUGCAAGGCUAGAAUCUGGCAGAGGGGGGUAGAAUUCCACGUGUAGCAGUGAAAUGACGUAGAUAUGUGGAGGAACACCGAUGGCGAAGGCAGCCCCCUGGGUCAAAACUGACGCUCAUGCACGAAAGGCGUGGGGAGCAAACGAGGAUUAGUAG
rnacentral:rRNA from 1 species